rnacentral:rRNA from 1 species
GCAGCUACCAUGCAGUCGAGCGAAGCACUUUAGGUAGCUGCUACCUGAUUUGACUGAGCGGCGAAGGGGUGAGUAACACGUGGGUGAUCUGCCUGAAAGCCCGGGAUAACAGUUGGAAACGGCUGCUAAUACCGGACAAUGUCUAGUAUUCGUUUAUAGACCAAAGAAUUUCGCUUUCAGAUGAGCCCGCGUCCCAUUAGCUAGUUGGUGGGGUAAAAGCCUACCAAGGCGACGAUGGGUAGCCGGUCUGAGAGGAUGGUCGGCCACACUGGAACUGAGACACGGUCCAGACUCCUACGGGAGGCAGCAGUGGGGAAUUUUGCGCAAUGGGCGAAAGCCUGACGCAGCGACGCCGCGUGAGUGACGAAGGCCUUCGGGUUGUAAAGCUCUGUCGAGGGGGAAGAUAAUGACGGUACCCCUCAAGAAAGCCCCGGCUAACUACGUGCCAGCAGCCGCGGUAAGACGUAGGGGGCGAGCGUUGUCCGGAAUUACUGGGCGUAAAGGGCGUGUAGGCGGCUAAGUAAGUCAGCUGUGAAAUUCCUCGGCUCAACCGAGGGCCUGCAGUUGAAACUACUUGGCUUGAGUGCAGGAGAGGAAGGUGGAAUUCCCAGUGUAGCGGUGAAAUGCGUAGAUAUUGGGAGGAACACCGGUGGCGAAGGCGGCCUUCUGGCCUGUAACUGACGCUGAGGCGCGAAAGCUAGGGGAGCAAACAGGAUUAGAUACCCUGGUAGUCCUAGCUGUAAACGCUGGGUACUAGGUGUAGGGGGUUUAGACGCCCUCUGUGCCGUAGUUAACGCAUUAAGUACCCCGCCUGGGGAGUACGAUCGCAGGGUUGAAACUCAAGGAAUUGACGGGGCCCGCACAAGCGGUGGAGCAUGUGGUUUAAUUCGACGCAACGCGAGAACUUACCAGGGCUUGACAUCUACCUGACGCAAUAGAGAUAGUAUGCUCUUUCGGAGCAGUAGACGGUCGUGCAUGGUGUCGUCAGCUCGUGUCGUGAGAUGUGGGUAGUCCCGCUACGAG